AUUGAACGCUGGCGGCAUGCCUUACACAUGCAAGUCGAACGGUAACGGGCCUUCGGGUGCCGACGAGUGGCGAACGGGUGAGUAAUACAUCGGAACGUGCCCGAUCGUGGGGGAUAACGAGGCGAAAGCUUUGCUAAUACCGCAUACGAUCUACGGAUGAAAGCAGGGGACCGCAAGGCCUUGCGCGGACGGAGCGGCCGAUGGCAGAUUAGGUAGUUGGUGGGAUAAAAGCUUACCAAGCCGACGAUCUGUAGCUGGUCUGAGAGGAUGAUCAGCCACACUGGGACUGAGACACGGCCCAGACUCCUACGGGAGGCAGCAGUGGGGAAUUUUGGACAAUGGGCGCAAGCCUGAUCCAGCCAUGCCGCGUGCAGGAUGAAGGCCUUCGGGUUGUAAACUGCUUUUGUACGGAACGAAAAGCCUUCUUUUAAUACAGGAGGGUCAUGACGGUACCGUAAGAAUAAGCACCGGCUAGCUACGUG
rnacentral:rRNA from 1 species